rnacentral:rRNA from 1 species
UGGGGAAUAUUGCACAAUGGGCGCAAGCCUGAUGCAGCCAUGCCGCGUGUGUGAAGAAGGCCUUCGGGUUGUAAAGCACUUUCAGCGGGGAGGAAGGCGAUAAGGUUAAUAACCUUGUCGAUUGACGUUACCCGCAGAAGAAGCACCGGCUAACUCCGUGCCAGCAGCCGCGGUAAUACGGAGGGUGCAAGCGUUAAUCGGAAUUACUGGGCGUAAAGCGCACGCAGGCGGUCUGUCAAGUCGGAUGUGAAAUCCCCGGGCUCAACCUGGGAACUGCAUUCGAAACUGGCAGGCUAGAGUCUUGUAGAGGGGGGUAGAAUUCCAGGUGUAGCGGUGAAAUGCGUCGAGAUCUGGAGGAAUACCGGUGGCGAAGGCGGCCCCCUGGACAAAGACCGACGCUCAGGUGCGAAAGCGUGGGGAGCAAACAGG